GUAUGCAUAUCGGAUGUUAUUUAUUACAGCCAUCAAUUAAGCUAUGGAUACAGGUGCCGAAAAGAAUGUACUGUACACCUCUACCACUACCACCCCCGUAGCCGUAGUCAUUGGAGGCAACAACCAUGCAUGGCCGACAAAGGAAGGCGCAUCUAGAUCUUAAGCUUAAAAGUGCAGGAAUUGGAGCGGAUGCUCAGCUGCGUGCCUGCCUGGAUAUUGUCCACCACCAGGUUGCAGUUUGCCUUGCCCGUCAUCGUCCACAGCCUGACGGCGCCGAACUUGAUGCGGAUGGGCACGCGGGCCCGCACGGUGAGCGGCACGAACCCGGCCGCCCGCUGCUGCAGCAGCUGCGCCGCGACGGCGCUGUCGAGCCGCGUCUCCCCCGCGAGCGAGAUGCGCGGGUGCACGGUGGUGCGGUGGCCCUGGUACAGCGCCGGGAAGGCGCCGCUGCACAGCACGGUGCCGUUGAAGGACGCCGUCACGUCGCCGCCGUCGUAGUAGAUCCCGAUGCGGCGGUUCGGGUUGUCGGCCGUCACGUCCACGUCGAACGCGUCGGUCACCGUGGCCGACGUGCCGUUCACGUCGAAGCGGGUCACCGUCAGGCGGUCCACGUGGAACGUCGGGAUCUUGGGCCGGAACACCAGGUACAGGAUCCCCGCGGUGGCGCCCAGCGCAACGGCGAGCAAAACGAGGGCGAGGACGGUGUAGCACACGCACCGGCAGCAGCGGCUGCGCUUGCGCCGCGACGGCGGGGGCGGGGGCGGGGGCGGCGGCGCCGGGGCAGGGGCUGUCACCGGCAGCUGGUCGUGGCUGGGUUUCUUGCCGCUCCUCGACGCCUGCUCCGGCGGCGCGGACGGCGGCGGCGGCGAGCCCGCGCUCACUGGGUGGAUCCUGUGGUAGUCUGCCAUGCUCGUAUCGUACGUGUGCACGCGCUCCUCUCAAACCCGCGGCGCGCGCGGUCCUGUACGAAAAAUGCACGAACGCAAGCAGCCGCUGCACGACUCGAUCGCUUGAGCUAUAAAUGUCGUCUCGUCUCG
rnacentral:misc_RNA from 1 species